UUUAGCAGCACCUAGAAGCAUAUUAAAAUUGGAAUGAUUCAGAGAGGAUUGCCAUGGCCCCUGCCUAAGGAUGCUGUGCAAAUUCAUGAAGUACUACAGAAUAAA
ensembl:snRNA U6 U6 spliceosomal RNA